UAGCGUAUAUUAAAGUUGUUGCGGUAAAAAAGCUCGUAGUUGGAUUUCUGUUGAGGGCGACCGGUCCAUACAACGUAUGCGUAUCUGGCUCGGCCUCGGCAUCCUCUCGAUAGACGUUUCUGCGCUUGAUUGCGUGGAGCGGAUCUCGGGACUUUUACUUUGAGGAAAUUAGAGUGUUCACGGCAGGCUAUCGCCAGAAUACAUUAGCAUGGAAUAAUACUAUAGGAUCUUGAUUCUAUUUUGUUGGUUUCUAGAAUUGAGAUAAUGAUUAAUAGGGACAAUUGGGGGCAUUCGUAUCAACACGUC
rnacentral:rRNA from 1 species